rnacentral:rRNA from 1 species
GGGUUGUGAGGUUAAGCGACUAAGCGUACACGGUGGAUGCCCUGGCAGUCAGAGGCGAUGAAGGGCGUGCUAAUCUGCGAUAAGCGCCGGUAAGGUGAUAUGAACCGUUAUAACCGGCGAUACCCGAAUGGGGAAACCCAGUGUGACUCGUCACACUAUCAUUAACUGAAUCCAUAGGUUAAUGAGGCGAACCGGGGGAACUGAAACAUCUAAGUACCCCGAGGAAAAGAAAUCAACCGAGAUUCCCCCAGUAGCGGCGAGCGAACGGGGAGGAGCCCAGAGCCUGAAUCAGCAUGUGUGUUAGUGGAAGCGUCUGGAAAGGCGCGCGAUACAGGGUGACAGCCCCGUACACAAAAGCGCAUGUGCUGUGAGCUCGAUGAGUAGGGCGGGACACGUGGUAUCCUGUCUGAAUAUGGGGGGACCAUCCUCCAAGGCUAAAUACUCCUGACUGACCGAUAGUGAACCAGUACCGUGAGGGAAAGGCGAAAAGAACCCCGGCGAGGGGAGUGAAAAAGAACCUGAAACCGUGUACGUACAAGCAGUGGGAGCACCCUUUGGGGUGUGACUGCGUACCUUUUGUAUAAUGGGUCAGCGACUUAUAUUCUGUAGCAAGGUUAACCGUAUAGGGGAGCCGGAGGGAAACCGAGUCUUAACCGGGCGUUAAGUUGCAGGGUAUAGACCCGAAACCCGGUGAUCUAGCCAUGGGCAGGUUGAAGGUUGGGUAACACUAACUGGAGGACCGAACCGACUAAUGUUGAAAAAUUAGCGGAUGACCUGUGGCUGGGGGUGAAAGGCCAAUCAAACCGGGAGAUAGCUGGUUCUCCCCGAAAGCUAUUUAGGUAGCGCCUCGUGAAUUCAUCUCCGGGGGUAGAGCACUGUUUCGGCUAGGGGGCCAUCCCGGCUUACCAACCCGAUGCAAACUGCGAAUACCGGAGAAUGUUAUCACGGGAGACACACGGCGGGUGCUAACGUCCGUCGUGAAGAGGGAAACAACCCAGACCGCCAGCUAAGGUCCCAAAGUCAUGGUUAAGUGGGAAACGAUGUGGGAAGGCCCAGACAGCCAGGAUGUUGGCUUAGAAGCAGCCAUCAUUUAAAGAAAGCGUAAUAGCUCACUGGUCGAGUCGGCCUGCGCGGAAGAUGUAACGGGGCUAAACCAUG